rnacentral:lncRNA from 1 species
GAAGCAGAGGGAUGCAAAUACAGGGAAUAAGAUGGUUUAUGAACUCCAUCCUGUGAUGACACUCACAUCCAGUAAUCCUACUUGUAUGCAGGGAUUAUGAUGGGAAAGUUACUCCUGAGGAGGUGGCAGCUGCUGCGAUGUACUUGAAGGAUACAUCAGGCAAGGAAGGCAUCCAAGAACUCAUCAGCUGCUGCGAUGUACUUGAAGGAUGUAUCAUUUUGAAUGUGUCU